ACCGUGACUAGUCCUAUAAUGCGAAUGAGGAAAUCGGUGAAUUGUUUCAGACAAUGUUUCCGGACUCUAACAUCGCUAAAACAUUCAGGUGCGGGAAAGAUAAAACUGCAUACAUUGCGCGCUUUGGACUUGCAGAUUUUAUCAAGAGAGAACUAAUUUCGAAAGUGACUGGACCAUUCGUGCUGAUGUUUGACGAAAGUCUGAAUCGCACCACCAAAAUGAAACAGCUGGACCUUCACGUACGUUUUUGGGAAGGCGGGCAGGUACAGUCAAGAUACCUGGGAUCCCAGUUCAUGGGGCAUGCUACAGCCGAGGACUUAAUGAAGCAUGUGAAAGAGUGUGUGGACCCCCUUGACCUAAGGAGACUGGUGUCCAUUUCAAUGGAUGGGCCCAAUGUGAAUUUUAAAUGUUUUGAGCUCUUCCAACAAGAACACGCAGAAAGGUAUGGAGGUUCUCAACUUGUUGCUGUGGGGAGCUGCGGACUCCACACAUUACAUAAUGCAGUCAAAAGUGGCUUUUCCAUAUGGCAAGUGGAAAAACUGCUGAGAGCCAUGCACAGAGCCAUUCCAUAAUGCCCCAGCUAGGAGAGAAGACUACACUGCUGUGACCAAGAGCUCUGUCUUCCCUUUAUCUUUCUGUGGUCAUCGGUGGCUUGAAAACCAGCCUGCGAUAGAGAGGGCUCUUGAAAUUUGGCCAUCACUUACACAGUAUAUAGAUGCGGUGAGAAGAAAACAACUCCCAAACCCUGGGACAGCAUCUUUUGACACAGUGGAGGAUGCCAUGAAAGACGCACUCAUUGUGGCCAAGUUACACUUCUCCUUUACUGUUGCCAGGCUUUUCAGCCCCUUUUUGAAGAAGUAUCAAACAGAUGAGCCAGCGAUGCCUUUCCUCAGCAAUGACCUGGCUGAGCUGAUCAAGAGUCUCCUGAGACGCUUCAUUAAGAGGGAGGUCCUCCAGGACAUCACCACACUGCAGCUAACCAAACUGGAUGUAACUGACAAGAAGAACUGGCUCCCACUAAAGGAUAUUGACAUCGGCUUGGGUGCUGAGUCAAUACUCAAGG